AUUGAACGCUGGCGGCAGGCCUAACACAUGCAAGUCGAACGAGUGGCGGACGGGUGAGUAAUGUCUGGGAAACUGCCCGAUGGAGGGGGAUAACUACUGGAAACGGUAGCUAAUACCGCAUACCAUCGGAUGUGCCCAGAUGGGAUUAGCUAGUAGGUGGGGUAACGGCUCACCGAGGCGACGAUCCCUAGCUGGUCUGAGAGGGUGACCAGCCACACUGGACGUAGGACGCGGUCCAGGUCCCGAGGGAAGGAAGCAGUGUGGAAUGUUGCACGAUGGGCGCAAGCCUGAAGCAGCAGUGCAGCGUGUAUGAAGAAGUCCUUCGGGUUGUAAAGUACUUCAGCGAGGAGGCGUUACUCGCAGAAGAAGCACCGGCUAACUCCGUGCCAGCAGCCGCGGUAAUAC
rnacentral:rRNA from 1 species